GGGAGGUAGUGACAAUAAAUAACAAUACGGGGUUCUUUUGGAUCUCGUAAUUGGAAUGAGUACAAUUUAAAUCUCUUAACGAGAACCAAUUGGAGGGCAAGUCUGGUGCCAGCAGCCGCGGUAAUUCCAGCUCCAAUAGCGUAUAUUAAAGUUGUUGCAGUUAAAAAGCUCGUAGUUGAAUUUCGGGAUUAGUAGGUUGGUCGUGCCUCUGGUAUGCACUGGCUUUACUGGUUCCUCCUUCUUGAAGAACUGUAAUGUCAUUAAUUUGGUGUUGCAGGGAAACAGGACUGUUACUUUGAAAAAUUAGAGUGUUUAAAGCAAGCAUUAGCUUGAAUACAUUAGCAUGGAAUAAUGAAAUAGGACGUUUGAUCCUAUUUCGUUGGUUUCUAGGAUCGACGUAAUGAUUAAUAGGGAUAGUUGGG
rnacentral:rRNA from 1 species